rnacentral:rRNA from 1 species
AAUGAACGUUGGCGGCGUGGAUUAGGCAUGCAAGUCGAGCGAGAACCCGCAAGGGGGACAGCGGCGAACGGGGUAGGACAACGUAGGUAACGUACCCUCGGGGCGAGGACAGCCACGGGAAACUGUGGGUAAUACUCGAUAAUGUUCCCAAUCUUGAUUGGCGGGGAACCAAUGGGUGUGAUUCCACCUGAGGAGCGGCUUACGCAGUAUCAGCUAGUUGGUGAGGUAACGGCUCACCAAGGCUAUGACGCUUAGGGGAUGUGAGAGCAUGAUCCCCACCACUGGCACUGAGACACUGGCCAGACACCUACGGGUGGCUGCAGGCGAGAAUCUUCGGCAAUGGACGCAAGUCUGACCGUGCGACGCGGCGUGCGGGAUGAAGGCCUUCGGGUUGUAAACCGCUGUCAGAGGGGAUGAAGUGUACGGGAGUUAUCUCCUGUAUUUGACAGAGCCUCAGAGGAAGCACGGGCUAAGUUCGUGCCAGCCGCCGCCGUAAAAC